UACGGGGGGAGCAAGCGUUGUUCGGAUUUACUGGCGUAAAGGGCGCGUAGGCGGCCAGCACAAGUCAGUUGUGAAAUCUCCGAGCUUAACUCGGAACGGUCAACUGAUACUGUGCGGCUAGAGUGCAGAAGGGGCAACUGGAAUUCUUGGUGUAGCGGUGAAAUGCGUAGAUAUCAAGAGGAACACCUGCGGCGAAGGCGGGUUGCUGGGCUGACACUGACGCUGAGGCGCGAAAGCUAGGGGAGCGAACGGG
rnacentral:rRNA from 1 species